rnacentral:rRNA from 1 species
AACGAACGCUGGCGGCAGGCUUAACACAUGCAAGUCGAGCGCCCCGCAAGGGGAGCGGCAGACGGGUGAGUAACGCGUGGGAACGUACCCUUUGCUACGGAAUAGCUCCGGGAAACUGGAAUUAAUACCGUAUGUGCCCUACGGGGGAAAGAUUUAUCGGAAUUGGAGGAGCCCGCGUUAGAUUAGCUAGUUGGGGGGGUAAUGGCCUACCAAGGCGACGAUCUAUAGCUGGUCUGAGAGGAUGAUCAGCCACACUGGGACUGAGACACGGCCCAGACUCCUACGGGAGGCAGCAGUGGGGAAUAUUGGACAAUGGGCGCAAGCCUGAUCCAGCCAUGCCGCGUGAGUGAUGAAGGCCUUAGGGUUGUAAAGCUCUUUCAGUGGGGACGAUAAUGACGGUACCCACAGAAGAAGCCCCGGCUAACUUCGUGCCAGCAGCCGCGGUAAGAC